AAUUUGUAAUGGAUGGAAGCCAUAUUGAAGUCAGGUUGUCAUUGUCAGUGUUUGUUGUGGUAAUUGGUUAAAAGAUUUAGAUGAGAUUGUAUAAAUUCUAGUAUUAUAAUUGAUAUUUAUUUUUGAUACAUGAUACAAGUCACAGGAUGUGGGCAGCACAGCAAGCACAAAAUCAGCAACAGAAUCAGCAGAAUGCUGAGAAAUCUGCGAACUCUGGUAAAGCCCUUGGAAUGACUUCUGCCAUUUCCACAGCGGAUCCUAAACCAAUUGAUAUUCAGAGAACGUUAGAACUUCAAGAAGCUUUGAAGCCCUUUAACGUGUGUGAAUCUGACCAGGAGCUGAAUCACCGUAUGGAAAUAUUGUGCAAGCUGAACACUUUAGUAAAAGAAUGGAUUAAGGAAGUUAGCAUAAGUAAAAACAUGCCCGAUAGUGUUGCUGAUCAAGUUGGUGGGAAAAUUUACACCUUUGGAUCAUACCGGCUGGGCGUCCACCACAAAGGCGCUGACAUUGACGCCCUCUGUGUGGCCCCUCGACACAUAGAACGUUCAGAUUAUUUCACUUCUUUUUUUGAAAAGCUGAAGACUCAUCCCGAGGUUACGGAUCUUAGAGCGGUAGAAGAAGCAUUUGUACCUGUUAUCAAAAUGAAUUUUGACGGAAUAGAAAUUGACAUGUUAUUUGCUAGGUUGGCAUUGAAGGAGAUUUCAGAAACCAUGGACCUACGAGAUGACAUGUUGUUAAAAAAUUUAGAUCAAAAGUGUGUUCGAAGUUUAAACGGCUGCAGAGUAACAGAUGAAAUUUUGAGGCUAGUCCCCAACAUAGAAAAUUUCCGACUAGCUCUCCGGACAAUAAAACUUUGGGCCAAACGACAUGGCAUCUACAGUAAUGUACUCGGAUAUCUUGGAGGCGUGUCGUGGGCUAUGUUGGUUGCCCGGACCUGUCAGCUGUACCCCAACGCAGCCGCUGCCACACUAGUCCAGAAAUUCUUCCUUGUCUUUUCUCAAUGGAAGUGGCCUCAACCUGUCCUGCUGAAACAACCUGACACAGUCAACCUGGGCUUUCAAGUUUGGGAUCCUAGAGUAAACGCUUCCGACCGGUAUCACCUGAUGCCUAUCAUAACUCCCGCAUACCCCCAACAGAAUUCUACAUUCAAUGUGUCCGCGUCAACGCGUGCAGUGAUGGUUGAAGCGUUCAGACAGGGACUUCAACUCACUGAGAAAAUCAUGACUGGAAAGUGCGGCUGGGAGAAACUGUUUGAGGCCCCAAGUUUCUUUAACAAAUACAAACACUUUAUCGUACUGCUGGCGAGUUCUGCGAGUCCAGAGGAGCAGCUCGAAUGGUGUGGACUCAUAGAGUCCAAGGUCAGGUUCCUCAUCAUGAACUUGGAGAGGAACAUCCAGAUCAAACUAGCUCAUGUCAAUCCGGAAUGUUUUUCGCCCAACCUUCCCGCUCCUCACAUUUCUCCGACACCGACCAACAUGUGGUUCAUCGGUCUCGAGUUUUCCAAGUCCGAGAAUCUGAAUAUUGACUUAACGUACGAUAUUCAACAGUUCAUCAAUGCAGUGCAUCGCCAAGCCAUUCUGAUCAAGAUGAUCAAGGAUACAAUGAAAAUCGAAGCACGACAUGUGAGACGGAAGCAGCUCACAGCGUACUUACCCAGUACUACCCUCAACCUGGUGAAGAGAGAACGCAAGGUGUCCUCUAGUAGUUCGAACACUGCAGCGAGCGUGAAUGGAAACGGAAGCAACUCGCCACCACUGAACUCUUCUGGCGAAGUGACGAAUAGAAAGAGGCAUUCGGACACAACCGUGGAUCACAGCGUAAAGAAAUCGAAGCCUAGUCUAGAUGGUCAUGAUGACUCUCCGAACAACUCCCUCACUGUCCAGUGUAGCACUGAUGACUCCAACUCGGCUCUCUCAGAGGAUGAUAGAUUGUACAGGCCGUCAGUAGUCAAAGCUUCUGUCAGUUUGCCAGUUACGAAAGAGGAAAGUGCCAAAGAAGAGGUGGUGUGUACAUGACCCCUAGUAGCACAGUAGACCGGCUUACACUGAAUACAAAGCAGAUUGAGGAUUGCUGGGGUGUUGGCACCAUAGUUGUUAAGUGUAAUUUAUCUUAUCUAGUGUGUGGCUAUGGAUUGGACCUCCAUAGCCUAUCUCGUCCUCUCUGCUUUGGAUACUGCCUUCACAGAUGACUUCAAUUUUUGUGGACUUCCAUGGAUCUUCUGAAUCUCUUCGAUAUGGACACUGGCUCGACUAGGCCAUCAACCUCUACCAUCGGUUAGCAGCGACCAGCGAACACAUCAGACCCUGAAUCAGUCUGGAAUCUUGCAAUCUCGAUAGAUGACAUGGAGUUAAUAAAAAUAUAAUGUCUAUGACUUCUACGUUUUUCCCCUUAAAAACAAUUGCAUCUUGGAAAAUACUUUUUGAAUGUAGGAGCCAUACGAAUGUUGGUUCUGUAAUAUUGAUGCAGACUGGCUCUUACUGCGUCCAGCAAGAGGUACUGGAUUAAUAAAUUCAAAAGUUUGCUUGUCUAUAACAGUCUGAAUAUUUAACACUGCCUGGGUAUCCAUAAAUUCGCUACUGGGUUACCUCUAUAUUUAUUCAACUCAUUAUUUUAAUACUUCUAAUACUGUACGCGUAUUUUUCGUAUAGUGUUUCUAUACAGUUUGUACUCCAGUUGUUCCAUUUAUAACCCAGAAAAAAAAUACCAAUUAGUAUCAUUUAUAACUCAGAAAAUUAAGUUUUUGUUGUAGGAUUUUGAGAAUUAGAAGAAAGAACAAGAUAUAGCUGCUUUAAUGCAAAUUCUUGUAACGGUCAUUGAGUAAAGACUUGGCAUGUUUUUAGAAGAUAUUCAUCCUCGUCGUAUUUAUCACACUACAAAAGUUAAACCAAUGACCUGCCAAUUUUAGCACAAGGUUUUCAUAGUUUUGUAUUAUGGUAUAAAUGGUUUCUUAACUCUUAAAAGCGAUUAUUAUUGUCUUGAUUUGAUAGUAAAUGUCUUGCAACAACAUGAAAUAACACACUGAUCCUAUCUUCCACUCAAACCAACCACCGUUAAUUCAAGGUGCACUCUCCCACCAGCUUUUCCUCAGACUAGUAAAUCCGAUACAAGUAUAUACCAGAGCACACAAAUCCCUAACUUCAGGCACGGAUAUUGAACACUUGACUAAGGCCAACUCCUGUAUCCGAGAGUAGAGCCUUAGACAUGCAGCCAUGCUGACUUGAUGCUUUGAAUGUUCAGAUCACUUAUAUCGUUACACUGAUUCUUGCACCUUGUGAAUCCGUCGAGGAUUUAUGAUGUUUGUCAAUGUGUGACAGAACGAUUCCGUCGAAGUAGGCCAAUGGAUUAAAGCGUGGGCUAAAAAUGAUUAUUAUUUGUGAUCCACAAUUCUAAUAUUUGAUUUAUGUCUAGGUUAUGCUUUAGGUAACUUAUUGCUCCAAAUCCAAGUUUUUAAGAACUUUUAUUUUACUUCAUUGCGAUUACUUAUAUUUCACUCUCAUUCUCAGCUUCAAUUUCAUGGGUAUCCGUACUAAAUAUAACAAAAUCUGAGUUUCGAGGUCAUUUAUAAACUCGAGUACCUAAACCAAACACGAAUUUAUUUUUCGCAAAUAACAAAAAUUUUUCUUUUAGGUCAAUAAUAAUAUUGUCUUUUUUUUGAUAGCCAAUAGAUUUUUACAUUUAUUUUGUAAUAAUUAAAUUUCUGUUGGAGUAAAUAAUAACACAAUACUAACAUGGCCAAACUGAAGAUUUAUGCAUGUGUUUGAUUUGACAAACGACAAAAGAACCUUAAUGCCAGGUAAGUCCUCUUCGGUGUGGGCUUAUGGUCCGUCUCACCCCUUCCUCCCCACCCGCCCAAGUAAAACCAAGCAGCUUUUAUGGUCUGCUGUCUUUGAGCUAUUACAGUAGUUUAUUUGGAUUAAAUUAUUUUAGGUAUGGUUGGUAACCCUUAUGUAUAAAUAUAUAUAUAUAUAUAUAU
rnacentral:misc_RNA from 1 species